CUUCUACAAACCUUUGUAGUAGUGGAUCCUUCAGGUAAUUCGUGUAUUGGUCCGUUCAGCGUAUCUGAACUACUUCUAGAUCAAGAUUGGUAUUUCAAAGGCCUUAUGGUUCCCUGAAUUAAACAAUAUAAACUAGAGCUUGCAUGGAGUAAUUUUAAGUUGGCUAUUGUACUGCCGCUACCUAUAUUUUGAUGAUAAUCGGAAAGAGAUGAAUUGUUGAUGUUUUGUUUCGCGUGCACGAGUUGGCUAACUAACUGAACUGUAUCCAUGUGAGAUUUUUGAAACUCUCUGAAUUUUGAUGUGGUUGAUUUCGGUGCAGGUGUGAUUUAUUUUUUUUCGGUUCCUUUUUGCUGAAUUUCUGAUGGUUAGUAUUGAAUUGAUUGUAUUGAAUCCUUUAGCUGGUGAUUUUAGAUGCUGAUGAUUGUAAACUCAAAGAUGAACCUGAACGGAUGAACCUGGCCUGAUGCAAAACUGAACCUGGGAAAACUGAACUUGACAAGAUGCAAAACAAACCUAAUGGUUAGUUAGUUCCUCAUUGUAAAAGCAAUUUAUACCUGCACCACGGCCAGUUAAAUCAGAACACAUGCCUACACGUUUCCUGUUUCCCGAAUGAUAUUAAUUUUGUCUUGCAAACCUGUACCACAACGGGUUUUUUCUAGGGAUGUACCAUAGCAGGCUAGUCACCUGACAAGCGGGAAUGAAAUAUACUGACAGAUGGCAGAUCAUACAUGACGUAUACUUAGCAAAUAAACCCCAGAAAUCAGGCAUAACUUCUUUAAACGUCGGAACCUGUCAAAUAACUUUUUUUUGCGGGUUACCUGUCAAAUAACUUACUGUAUGCUUAUCGUCCUUGCUUUUCCAAAUCUUACCAUUAAUAUGUUAACAUAUUUUUCUUCUAAUGUUUCCUGAUAUCCUUCUUCGCCAAGGUAGUACAAUCAUGCCCGCAACUCCGGAGUAUGAGAAAAAAAGGUUGGCAAGCAUUUAGAAGCGCAAGGCUGAGGAGGCAGGGCCUCUUGCAAACAUAUGGAACAUAUCUAGUCAAUUGCUAUACGGUCUGAAUGCAAAAGACAAAGAGAGGCGCAAAGGUGAUGAUGUUGGCAUUGGCUCCGACUAUUAGCCAAAUGAUGAUGAGGAGGCUGAUGAUGCCGAUGAGGCUUCUGGAGAAGAAGAGGAGCAGGAGCCAACUCUACAUAUGUCAAAGGAAAAGAGUGAGGCCUCUUGACCCUGUCAGCCAAGAUUUCUUCUCAAUGUGGUGUACAUGUCCGCAGCAACAUCAUGCAUGUUGCUACACAUUGGAAUGAUUAUAGCAAAGAAGGCCUAGACCAUCUUAUUCCUAAAGCUAUUGGUCAUGUUGCGAAAAACUUUGAAAUGGAUCCAAAAGAGAAGGUGACCAGGGGCGUAUGCACAAAGAUACUCCAGAAGGGUGUUCGACAACAACGAUAUAUAUUGAAGAGGAUUAUUUUACAGGUCGUAUCUGUGAAGAAGCAUUAUCUCGUAAGCCACCCAAAGUUGGUCAACAAAAUUGGGAAGCGCUUGUUAACAAAUGGUCAGAUGAAAGAAACAAGGAGAUGUUUGCCAAGAACAAGAAGAACCGAGAAGCUGUGAAGCAUCACCAAACUACAUGUUCUAGGUCUUAUCGUUCUCAUUUCCACCAACUCAUAAGUAUACUACGCAUUUUCUCCGUUGUUUUUCUACAGUUGGCUACUGCACAUUUUGGCAACUUUCAUAUUUUGAAUACUAAUUAUAUGAAUUCCUACAUCUUGUAGAAAAAACACAAGUACAACAAUGAGGAACCUAGUCCCAUUGAGUUUUUCAGAGAAACCCAUACCAAUAGGAAGACGGGAAGCCCUUGAAGCUUAUACUGAUAUGGAAACGAAAAGGAGUGAAGUAGAAAGAGAAGAUGACCAACCAGUGUCUGGUAGACAUAUUGUGGCGGAAGUUCUCAAAGAGCACAGCUCCUCAAGCACCUUCCUUUCAACCAUUGGGUACCAAUCAAGAUCUAGGAGGUCUAGGACAUCAGCUUCUAAAGAACACGUCUGACAAUUAGAAGAAAACAUUGAACAACAGAAGAGAGGCAGUAUAUGCAACUACGAUGUACCAACAACAGUUAAUCGAGAGAGGUAAAACGCAAGAGGCUGCACUUGAACAGAUGCAAAUGAAGCAACAAGAAGAAUUGACGGUCAUGAAAAAGAGCCAAGAAGAAAAGAAUAAAACAUAUGAAAAAAGCAAGAGGAACAAGCGGCCUUAUUAGCUUCCUCUUACGGAAGCAUGCUACCCAGAACUAGACAAAUUACAUGACACGGAAACCAAAAUUAGAUGGUGCUAUUCUACCAUCAAUUUAGUUUCCUCUUUCUUAGUUAUGUCAAUUUUAUAGUGCUUAACUUAUUUAGUUAUGUAAGACAAUAUUUGGCUGUGAGGUUAUAUUUACUUGAGCUAGAUAUAUAUUGUGAUUUUAAUGGCA